rnacentral:rRNA from 1 species
GACGAACGCUGGCGGCGUGCUUAACACAUGCAAGUCGAACGCUGAAGCUCAGCUUUUGUUGGGUGGAUGAGUGGCGAACGGGUGAGUAACACGUGAGUAACCUGCCCCCUUCUUUGGGAUAACGCCCGGAAACGGGUGCUAAUACUGGAUAUUCACUGGUCUUCGCAUGGGGGUUGGUGGAAAGGGUUUUUCUGGUGGGGGAUGGGCUCGCGGCCUAUCAGCUUGUUGGUGGGGUGAUGGCCUACCAAGGCUUUGACGGGUAGCCGGCCUGAGAGGGUGACCGGUCACAUUGGGACUGAGAUACGGCCCAGACUCCUACGGGAGGCAGCAGUGGGGAAUAUUGCACAAUGGGCGCAAGUCUGAUGCAGCGACGCCGCGUGAGGGAUGGAGGCCUUCGGGUUGUGAACCUCUUUCGCUCAUGGUCAAGCCGCAACAAUGGUUGUGGUGAGGGUAGUGGGUAAAGAAGCGCCGGCUAACUACGUG